GAUAGGAACACAUACACCGUUUAAAUCUAAGUGUCAUAAGAUUUCCUCCUUCAUGAAAAUGAUUGUGAGGAAAUGCUUUCACUAAGAAAGAUUUUAAGAAGAUAGUGAUUGUAAAAUUGCAUUCUCGAAUUCGAUUAUGGUUACGGUAUCCCUUUCCAUAAUUUGAAUUGUGAGGUUUGGCAAUUAGUCUUAAUUGUUUAGACACACAUAUGAACUAUCGAAGGCAAAGGUGUAUAAGUUCAAGAAGCCUUGAUAAAAGAUUAUCAAAGCACUAAGUAUUAGAAACAUGAACUUAAGAAAUUCAAUAAGUAUUGUUUUUCUGAAAGUUAAGAUGUUUAUGAAUACAUGUCGAAGCUAGUGGGAGCAUAAGUGUUAUGUUUUAUAAUAAUCAUCAUGAUAGUGGGAGCAUAAAUGUUAUGAUUGUAUGAUUAUUAAGGCACGUAUUGCAAGUUGGCAAUAUUAAUUAUAGAAAACAAGAGUUAUACCUUGCAAAGUCGUAAGGGUUGUAAAGUUGUUUUGCUAUAAUUAAGGGAGAGAAUAUUAUGCUUCAUUUCAAAUCUAAAGGCUUAGGUUGAGAAAUGUUAAUAAAUUUAGUCAAAGGUACAUAGUGUGUUCUUAAAAUUUCGAUUAUGAUUACGGCAUUCCUCUUCACAAUUCGAAUUUUGAGAACAUAGCAAAUAAAACAUUAUGCGUCGUGUCCCAUACGCUUCGGGUAUAGGAUCGAUUGCAAAUGCUUUAAUGUUUGACCAUUCUAAAAUUUUCCAAAUGUCGAGCGCAUUUAGAGGGAAAAGGGACUAGAAUUGGUUUUGACUAAAAUAAUUAAACAACUAUCAAAGGACAAUCCAAAGUUCGACGAGGAUUGGUCGCUUGUGAGUAGUUGGAAGUAUAGUAUUGGAAAAUAUGGAAAUGUUUCCAUAUUGGAUGGACCAUAUCGACAUCAUUACGAAUAGAUAAGAUUCUAUUAAGAAUGAGUUGUCAUAUGGAACAUAUGGAAGUGUGUCCAUAUUGGGAAUUGAAUAUUGAGAAAUCUAUGACUAGAUUAGAAACUUCUAUGCAAAAGGAUGUUCAAAGAAUGUACUUUGAGUGAGAGACAUCACGUCUAUGGAAUUGUCUUGUAACAAUCUCCGAUAGAGGACUUUGUAAUAUCAUUGGCAAUAGUCUUUGUGACUUUGGUGCAGUGACAUUACGAAAGGAUAGUUGCAUAGAAUGUUAGAAUCUAGCAUAUUCUAUAAGUAGCAAGAAUUUGAUAUUCUUUGACUUAUGAAAAACGGAUUUGGAGUUGUGAAAUGAGAAGGAUUGGAAAUGUGUUCAAUGUGAUCUAUUUCACAAAGUAAGAACCAUAGGUAAACAUUGUGUGCAUGCUAGGAGCAUGGGACAAGUGUUGGAAUUCAAGUAAGAAGUUGAUUACCCGAAACGACAAAUAAUGAGUAAUCAAUAUGGUGAUAAAUAAAAGGUGUUUUAUUUAUACUCAAAGGUUUGAGGCCAUAUGGGAUUAGUAUUAUUCUUGUGUUUCACAUUUGCAUGUUUUGACUUCCAGAAUAAUUGAGUUUAUUAAGAAUAAUCGAAUUAUUCAAACGGGCCACAGUCGUUCAUAUGUUGGAAGUAGAUAUGAAUGAAGACUGUCGUGAAUUGGUGUGUGGAUUGUCUAAAAGAGUAUUAGACAUAAGCAAAUGUUUGCUGCAACGUUCAUGAGUGCUUAUGAAUAUGAUUUGAGCAUUGGAUUAAACCCACGCUCACUUGGAUCACUCCAUGAAUUGUAUCACGAGUGAUUGGUGAGACGAUAACAUCUUAUAUUCUUGAAACCGAGAUGUGUGAGUUGUAUCUUGCAAAUCGGUUGCACAUUGAUAAUAUGUAAACGCACUAGUAACUUGGUGUUAUAAAACAUAUUGUUGUGUGUGAUUCGGUGAGUGAGUGCAAGCAAGCAUUGUAUCAAAGUUUAUCCGUUCCUUUUAUCCAAAGUAGGAUAAAAGCGAUAUCUUUGGGCCCCUCGAUGGUUUAGUGAUGACAAACGUAAAUGCUCGGCCGGGCUAGGGCUAAUUUGAUUUGUUCAAUUAGUCAGUCGUCAUAAAUCGGAAAUCGAGAUAUAGUACAAAGAGAAUGAUUUGAAAUCAUAUCUCAUAUGAUAUCUAGAAUGGAGGAAUAUAUGAUCCCUUAUCUAAGGACACGCGUAUCUGAUAUGAUCAGAGUUGACAGCGGCUUUGGAAAGCUACGAUUGCAGAUCGGGAUCCGAAGUCAUACGCAGAAUAGUUGUUAGACUUAUCCAAGUGGGAGACUGUUGGAUUAGUGUCUAAGUCCAUAACUAUUUUGGUAUGUACUUGACCCGAUGGUGCAUGGUCCUUUUGGGUUGCCUUCACCAAAGCAACUUGAUUGGAGAAAUAAAUAGAGAGAGAGGUUAUUAUGAUUUAUUAAUAUGUUAUAAGAAUAAUAUAUUAAAGGAGAAAUCAUAUUUGUUUAAUUAAUAUUGGUCAAUAAUUAAUUAAGAAUUAAUUUUGUGAUCAAGUGUAAUUAAUUAAACUAGAGGGGCUGAAUUGUAAUUAUGUGAUAGUUACAAAAUAAGGUAAGGAUUAUCUUAUAUAUAUGGUGAACGAAUUUGAGGUGUAAAUCCCUUAGAAUUCGACUAGGAUAAGGAUUUCUAGGACUUAUCUUAUGGUUGCUUGGUGGACAAGCAACUAGAUAAGGAUAAGGACUAAAACCCUAAUCUUUACACCUAUAUAAACCCCCUAAGGCUUAUGAAUUCGUCCAACCCUUCCCAAGAAGUCCUAAGGACGAAUUCUAACCUCCCUCCUCUCUCUUUAUACCUUCUCCACUUGCUUAUGGUGUUUGUAAGCCAUUAGAGGAGUGACACUUGUGACUCUCAGCUUUCCAAGGUCAAUUCAAGGAGGAAUUGGAUUGUUAUUGCUAUAUAACAAUCAAGGUAUGUUCUUAAACCUAAUUACAUGUGAAUUCUGAUUUCCAUAUGCUAGAAUUAGGGUUCAAAGUCUUGGAUUCAAAGUAUGUACAAUAGAGAAACCUAGAUCCAAGCUUUAGGGUUUGUAUGAGCACAUAGGAUGUCUUAUGACCAAAACCCAUCAGUGGUAUCAGAGCCUUGAUUGGUUUCUAUUGUAUUGAUGCUUGAUGUAACUGAAAAUCGUGUUUUGGCCUCACUGUUCGACCUGACUCGGCGAGUCACUCUUGGACUCGGCGAGUCAGCCCUACUCGGCGAGUUCCAGAGGGUGACUCGGCGAGUCGGUGCGUCAGACAGUGCUUAUCUCGGGAUUUCUUGCUGUUUUUGCAUUGGGAUAAUUACCUUAUCAUGUUAGAUUAAUAUUAAUCCGAUUAUAUGAUAUAUUUGACUAUAUUUUUAAUCUAAUUGAAGAUAUUUAUCAAUUAAUAAGAUAAUUGUUUCCUUAUAAGAUAAUUGAUUAAUUAUUUUAAGUAAAUUGAUAAAUUAUUUUGCAAGAAAUCAUCAAAUAUGGAUAAUUAUGUGAUUAAAUGUUAAUUUGAAUUAUUUGUUAUUUGAUCCUUGUUGUUGUGAAAAGUUUCAUAUUUGGCCCUUUAGGUUUUAUAGUUUAAAUUUGAACCCCAAAAGUUUUGUUGUUUUGAAAUUUAAAUAGUUGAAACCCUAAUGUUUUGAAAAAGGUUUCAAAACUUGCCCUCAAGUUUUGGAAUUUAAAUUUUGAUUAAAUAGUUUAAUUUUGAUGCAUAUUUAAAUUCUAAACCCUAAUGUGUUGAAAUGUUUCAAAACUUGCCCUCAAGUUUUGGAAUUUAAAAGUUGAUUAAAAGUUUAAUUAGGAAUGUUAAAUUCUAAAACUCUAGUAUAGUUUUGAAAAAGUUCAAAUCACACCCUUAUGGUUUUAUUAAUUAAUUAAGGUGUAUAAUUAAAAGAGGUUUAAUAAAUCCAUAAAAGUUUAGGUUUACAAUUUAAUUGAAUUAAAAGUAUAAUUGUUAAAUUAGACCACCUAGUAUUUUAAAAGUAUAAAAUACACCCUAUACUAUAUAUAACAUUAAAAGUCUAACAUUAUAUAUAUGUAUGAGUAAAAGUCAGUCUUACCGUUAGUAGGCCUCAUUCACGAAGCUGGUCUAUAAGGGGUGUUUAAGGAAAUUGCCUAUAAAAUGGCGAUUGAAUGGGUAUCCACUCUUACCCACCGCACUCUUGACUAGUGGAGGGUCGUUAGCCGAACGGGUAGGAUAGGACGAAACCUUCCAUUAUAAGUAUAAUGAAUUAUUAAAGUAACUAAAUGUUUUCAUAAAAUUCCCAAUCUUAGUUACUUAGGCAAAAGUGAAUUGAUGCAAUUCCAUGAAAUUACACUUUGUGCCCUUGCGAAGACGUUAGUGGAGCGUGUGUGGUUAACCGGCACACUAAAUGGUUCUAAGCAAAGGUAGCAAAGGGUGACUCAAUGUUUGUCAUAGUUCGGUGGAGCGUGUGUGGUUUACCGGCACAUCGAAUAGGUGACUGUAACAUGUGAGGGCACCAUGUAAGUUUGCAUGGUUAUUCACACCCGCUUUGUGAUCCUCGGCAUCCCAGUCACAAACAAGAGGGGCAUAUCGAGAUUUAAACAUGCCAUUGAAAGUUCAAUGAAUCUCAAAGGAUCUAGGAGUUUUCAUAGAUUUAAAACUUAAAUUUCUUUUUCGUUUUUCAUGGUGGAAAUUAGUGAAUCGUCAUUCACUUACCUUCAAAUAUUCUGCAAUUAGGGUUACGGCAUCCCUCUCCCGAGUUGUAGAAUAUUGUGUUGGGUCCUAGCCUUAGUAUCUCAUUUGGGUGAUUUACUAAGGACUCAAUCAAUCAACUAACUUGAAUUCGUUUUCUCCCGUUUUGUAGAUGUCAAAGUUCGACAACUAUGGUCUUCCCAAAUCCCGUGGAACAAGCAUUCCACAUGAAGAUGAUAUUCCACGAUUCGAUCGAGGAACAAGAAAUCAUGCUUCACUUCCUCCUCCUCCUCCAAUUAUUCUCCCUAACCCACAAGUUCAAAGGCUUGAAAAGUUCAAGAUCACUCAAGCCCUUUUGGCAAGUAAACAUAAAGAAGGAAAGUCGGUGUGUGCACACGUCCUAGGGAUGAAGUCACACAUUGAUAGGUUAAGAAUGUUGGGAUCCGUUGUCUGUGAGGAAAUGGCUGUUGAUUGGGUUCUUCAGUCACUUCCUAACUCAUAUAGUGAGUUCGUAAGAGAGUACUAUAUGAUGAACCGCGACGUGACCCUUAUAGAUCUCACCUAUAUGCUUAUUGCUGCUGAAUCAGCAAUGGUUUGGCGCAAUAGAAAAGCAAAGUUGAUUGGUGAAUCUGCCUUCAAGACCUCUAUGGAUAUAGACAAUGGCAACGAAAGACAUGCUAUGAUCGAAAAGUUUGAUCAUAAGAGAAAGGCAAUGUCUGAAGUAGUUCCAUGUCAUGUUCCAAAAGAGUCAAUUUGCUUUUAUUGCCAAGAGAAAGGGCAUUGGAGACGAAGCUGCCCCAUUUACCUAAGAGAUCUAAGAGAUGGGAGAGUCGAAACGUAUGGCUCUAAUAUAGGUAAAAUCCAUUAACUAACUCUUUUAAGCUUCUAUUCUAGAUUCUUAAUACAUAAUGUGAUAAGAUUACAAUUGAUGUUUUGUAGGAUCGAAGAAAAGAAAGGAAGCUUAAGGGAAGAAGUGAGCAGAAUCUAACCGUGAAGGAAUGGAUUUCGAUCGCAUUUCUCGAAGAUUAGAUUCUUGAGCUACUACUUAGAGUUAGAAUUAGAUUGCUAAGAAAGAUGUAUUAGCAUAGUUUUUCAAUGAAUUGCAUUGUAAGGACAAAUUUUUUCCGCAAUAAAAUAAAUUUUGAUUUUAUAUUAUUUAUUUAUCCUUGCAAUGGCGUAUAUGAAAAAUUGAUGUUUGAAUGUUUCUAUUAUUAGCAAUAAUGGAUUUGGUUCUUAUUAUGUUAUUUAUGGAAAGUCGAGAGUUUACCAAAUAGGGAGAGUUUCUCAUCGCCCAAGUUUCAAUUGGACAGAAACUUGGAAUCAUGCAACUUGGUUGCACGAUGAAUGAGAAAUUUCAUAUUUGGAAAUUAGACUAAUUCAUUGACAAAGUGUCAAGUGAAGGACUAGGAGAUCGAGUACACAAAGUUGCGUGUUGAUCAAGUCCACCAUAAGAGUAACAAAGAUAUUCGUCAUGAUUUACUAAAGGUUUAGUAAAUAUGAUUAUACUUAUAAGAUUAAGUGUAAUUCUGAAUUGAUUGAAAAAGUUUAAAUCAAUAGCAGAACGAAUAAGAAGAAUCAAGUAGGCAGAAAGAUAAAAGUUUCUCCAUUCUAAGAAGAAGGGAGAGUACCUUUUAUGCUUUAUGAUAGGUCUUAAUGAUUAAGAACCAUAUCUCAAUUGAUCCUCUAAGUGAGUCUUAGUACAAUUGUAUGUCUAAGAAGAGGAAUCAAGAAUUGAAGAAAUGGUUAAAUCAAGAAGUCAAUCAUACUUCGUUCCAAAACAAGUCUUAGAGUUAAGAUUGUGACAUUGAGUGAUAAGUAUUAAGAAGGUUUAUAACAUUCAUCAAAUGUGGAAAGUUGUGAUGUCUUGGAUAAGACAAAGACCAACUAGGACCAAUUUAUGAAGUGUUUUGAUAAAAACUACACUAACUCUUGAAUAUUUGUUUGUCAAGAAAUGUUUAUUGACAAGAGAAUCUUAUAUGUCAAGGAGUCAGUGGGAGUCUUAAUGGUCUUGAAAGGUUUCAAGAACAAAUCAAAAAAACCUUAUCGAUCAUCACUAGCACACGAGUUGAGGUUUACAACCUAUCGUGUUGACAUUAUUUUGUUUCUGUGCCAAUCCAAUCGAGUUAAUUAUGCAUGUGAGUUCUAUGAGUUCUCAUUUGAAUGCAUAAAAGGCAAGGACCUUGAUCAAUGGAAAGUACAUUGAUAAGAAAAGGUGAGCUGCUUAACUACUUGGAAGACAUGGUGGGCAGCUGUGCUACCAUAAGGCAAGAAAUCAAGAUUAAGAAAGUUCGGUCCAUAUGAGUUUGAAUUUGUCGUAAACUUUGGUUUUGACAAAUUCACAUGGAUAGGAACACAUACACCAUUAAAAUCUAAGUGUCAUAAGAUUCCCUCCUUCAUGAAAAUGACUGUGAGGAAAUGCUUUCACUAAGAGAGAUUUUAAGAAGAUAGUGAUUGUGAAAUUGUAUUCUCGAAUUCGAUUAUGGUUACGGUAUCCCUUUCCAUAAUUUGAAUUGUGAGGUUUGGCAAUUAGUCUUAAUUGUUUAGACACACAUAUGAACUAUCGAAGGCAAAUGUGUAUAAGUUCAAGAAGCCUUGAUAAAAGAUUAUCAAAGCACUAAGUAUUAGAAACAUGAACUUAAGAAAUUCAAUAAGUAUUGUUUUUCUGAAAGUUAAGAUGUUUAUGAAUACAUGUCGAAGCUAGUGGGAGCAUAAGUGUUAUGUUUUAUAAUAAUCAUCAUGAUAGUGGGAGCAUAAAUGUUAUGAUUGUAUGAUUAUUAAGGAAAGUAUUGCAAGUUAGCAAUAUUAAUUAUAGAAAACAAGAGUCAUUCUUUGCAAAGUUGUAAGGAUGGAAUAGUUGUUUUGCUAUAAUUAAGGGAGAGAAUAUUAUGCUU
rnacentral:lncRNA from 1 species